CAGCUCCCGCAAUCUCUCCUCAUAAGAGAGAUGCUCCAGACUCCUGAUCAUCCUUGUGGCCCUGAUGAUACAGAUGCCAAAAUAUCUUGGGAGGGUUCUUCUCUUGCAUCUGCUGGAGAGAGCACUGAUUGCGUGAUGCUGAAGCAGGGUGGCUAAAAGGGAAAACAGCAUGAGCCUUUGGCAUCCCUUCCCUUUUCCCAAUGUGAUUAUCACUUGUGGAAAAGGUAGGUGUGCUGAGCAGUGUUGAAGACCAUAGUGCUGGCACACAUAGUGACCGUGUGGGGUUUGGGUUCAUGUAUCCAGUGGGGAAGGAGCUGGUCUCCUGUUCCUGGGCUCUGGGGGUGCAGGGAGCAUUGUAGGAGACACUUCAGUCAUGACUUGGUUUUAAUCCUCUCUAGAAGUGGAUGUGGGAAGAUGGAGGGGAACAAAUGAAAAAGAAAGGUGAAUCUUGCAACAAGGUAAAGAAAUGCAAGUUUCCCAAAGCUGGUUUUAUGGCAUUAAAUGCCAGGAAGGAGAAGAAACAGCACACUGAAGCUCCUGAUGAACAGGGAGAUGUUUGAGAAGUUUUAGAAGAAGAAUGUUUGGAAGAAAAAAGAUGAAGAGCAGGAAGUGGCAAUUUUAUUGUACAUCACUUGGGUUUAUUGAUGCUUUCCCCCUUUUGGCUUUAUAUUCUCUCCCCUUGUUAUUUCCCUUAUCAUUAUUAUUUAUAUAUCAUCAUUAUAUCAUUAGUAGUAGUAUUCUAUUGUACUUUGGUUACUAAACUUUUUUUAUCGUAACCCAUGGGGUUUAUACUCUUCCAUUCUCCUCCCCAUCCCACCAGGGGUGAGUGAGCAGCUGCUGGUGCUGAGGCUGGGUUAAUUGCCUGGGUUAAACCACCACAGACCCCUUUUUGGCAUCAUGGUGGGGCCAAAGGAUUGAGCUAAUGGCAGGUCUGACCAGAUGUGUCCAAUCAAAUCCAUUACAACAGCCAUUGCAGUGGGUUCACA